UACGGGGGGGGCAAGCGUUGUUCGGAAUUACUGGGCGUAAAGGGCUCGUAGGCGGCCAACUAAGUCAGACGUGAAAUCCCUCGGCUUAACCGGGGAACUGCGUCUGAUACUGGAUGGCUCGAGUUUGGGAGAGGGAUGCGGAAUUCCAGGUGUAGCGGUGAAAUGCGUAGAUAUCUGGAGGAACACCGGUGGCGAAGGCGGCAAUCCUGGACCAACACUGACGCUGAUGAGCGAAAGGCCAGGGGAGCAAAGCGGG
rnacentral:rRNA from 1 species